rnacentral:rRNA from 1 species
UACAGAGGGUGCAAGCGUUGUUCGGAAUUACUGGGCGUAAAGCGUGUGUAGGCGGCUUCGCAAGUUGGAUGUGAAAUCCCACGGCUCAACCGUGGACGUGCAUCCAAAACUGCGUCGCUAGAGUCUCGGAGAGGAAGGUGGAAUGCUUGGUGUAGAGGUGAAAUUCGUAGAUAUCAAGCAGAACACCUGCGGCGAAGGUGGCCUUCUGGACGAUGACUGACGCUGAGACACGAAAGCGUGGGGAGCAAACAGG